rnacentral:miRNA from 1 species
AUCACCUGGGGAUCUUGUUAAAAUGUAGAUUCUAAGUCUAGGUCCAGAAUCCACAUUCUAACAAGCUCCCAAGU